rnacentral:rRNA from 1 species
UACGAAGGUCCCGAGCGUUAUUCGGAAUCACUGGGCGUAAAGAGUACGUAGGCGGUUUGGUAAGUCAGGUGUGAAAUCCCGGGGCUCAACCCCGGAACUGCACCCGAUACUGCCAGACUUGAGUAAUGGAGGGGCAGGUGGAAUUCUCGGUGUAGCAGUGAAAUGCGUGGAUAUCGAGAGGAAGACCAAUGGCGAAGGCAGCCUGCUGGACAUUUACUGACGCUGAGGUACGAAGGCCAGGGUAGCGAAAGGGAUUAGAUACCCCGGUAGUCC